rnacentral:rRNA from 1 species
UACAGAGGUGGCAAGCGUUGUUCGGAAUUACUGGGCGUAAAGGGCGCGUAGGCGGCCUUCUAAGUCAGACGUGAAAUCCCCCGGCUUAACCUGGGAACUGCGUCUGAUACUGGAUGGCUUGAGUUUGGGAGAGGGAUGCGGAAUUCCAGGUGUAGCGGUGAAAUGCGUAGAUAUCUGGAGGAACACCGGUGGCGAAGGCGGCAUCCUGGACCAACACUGACGCUGAGUGAGCGAAAGCCAGGGGAGCAAACGGG